rnacentral:misc_RNA from 1 species
UAGGGGUUCACUUAUUCUAAACUUCUCCAUUACUCUAUGAUUUAUAUUGCUCAUUUUUUGAGGUUAAAGUGUAGUCUAAUUAAACCUAGUGAAACUUGAACAAUCUCAAAACUCACUCACAUGCUAUAUUUUCACAUCCUACUACCAACUUUCAUGGCAUAACCAUGAAAGAGAUAGAUAAAAACAGUGGCAAUAUGGAUAAACAAACAAAACCAACCAAACUAUGACAACAUCCACACUUUAUGUGUAACUCACCAAAUACAUGAUAACUAAAAUGGUGCCAAGCAAAAAG